UACGAAGGGGGCUAGCGUUGUUCGGAUUUACUGGGCGUAAAGCGCACGUAGGCGGAUCGUUAAGUCGGGGGUGAAAUCCUGGAGCUCAACUCCAGAACUGCCUUCGAUACUGGCGAUCUUGAGUCCGGAAGAGGUGAGUGGAACUCCUAGUGUAGAGGUGGAAUUCGUAGAUAUUAGGAAGAACACCAAUGGCGAAGGCGGCUCACUGGUCCGGUACUGACGCUGAGGUGCGAAAGCGUGGGGAGCAAACAGG
rnacentral:rRNA from 1 species